rnacentral:rRNA from 2 species
CUACCAUGCAGUCGAGCGGAGAGAGAAGCUUGCUUCUCAAUUCAGCGGCGGACGGGUGAGUAACGCCUAGGAAUCUGCCUGGUAGUGGGGGACAACGUUUCGAAAGGAACGCUAAUACCGCAUACGUCCUACGGGAGAAAGCAGGGGACCUUCGGGCCUUGCGCUAUCAGAUGAGCCUAGGUCGGAUUAGCUAGUUGGUGGGGUAAUGGCUCACCAAGGCGACGAUCCGUAACUGGUCUGAGAGGAUGAUCAGUCACACUGGAACUGAGACACGGUCCAGACUCCUACGGGAGGCAGCAGUGGGGAAUAUUGGACAAUGGGCGAAAGCCUGAUCCAGCCAUGCCGCGUGUGUGAAGAAGGUCUUCGGAUUGUAAAGCACUUUAAGUUGGGAGGAAGGGCAGUAAAUUAAUACUUUGCUGUUUUGACGUUACCGACAGAAUAAGCACCGGC